rnacentral:rRNA from 1 species
ACAGAGGGUGCGAGCGUUGUUCGGAAUUAUUGGGCGUAAAGGGAGUGUAGGCGGUUUGACAAGUCUUCUGUGAAAUCUACGGGCUUAGCCUGUAACGUGCAGAGGAAACUGUCAGGCUUGAGUGUCGGAGAGGAUAGGGGAAUUCCCGGUGUAGAGGUGAAAUUCGUAGAGAUCGGGAGGAACACCAGUGGCGAAGGCGCCUAUCUGGCUGACAACUGACGCUGAGACUCGAAAGCAUGGGGAGCAAACAGGA